UUCUUUCCUGAAUUAAUAAAUACUAUACAAAACAAUGUAAAAAAAAGAAAACAAACAAAAACACAAAAAAACAAAUACCAAAAAAUGCAUAUAAUUCUGCUUCCUCAAUAGGAAUGAGUUGAAAUGUUCCCUGAGUCCUCAAGUCUGGAGUUUUUCAAGAGCGAGGGAAGUAGUUAACUAGUGGAACACUGUGUGUGAAUCCAGGGCUCUGUAAGAUCACACAAUACACAUAGGAAAUAGAAACUGGUAUUUGUGGCAAGAUGUGUAUGGGGACCAGAAAGACAACACCAUAAAAUAAAUUGCUUAUCAUGUUUUACUUUAUUCUGAAAUCAAUGAUGGGUCACUGAUGACUUUCCCAAGCAGGAGAGGGGUAUGUUCUGAUUUGCAUUACGAUAAAUGAUUCUGCCUUAUAAUAUGGAGGAUAAGCAGAAGGGGCUCAUGUGAAGGAAAGGAGGCCACUUAGACUGUGACUAAAAUAACUGAAAUAAUAAAUAAUACAGGCAUGUACAAAGAUUGUCAGUGAGGCGGGAGAAGAAAAUACAGAUUCAAGGACUAUUAAGACUCAGAUUUUGCCCCUGAUUCAGGCCAUGGUCAUACACAGGCAAAAUGGGAACAGAGGCAGGUUUGGGGACAAGCAGGAGAAGGGGAACAAUGUUGAUAUGUUUGGUUUUAGCCUUUCUGCAUCUCUUGUUCUUAUGGUACUUCCAGAUGGAUAGUUCUAGAAAACUAUAGACCUUGUGUUUAGGAUGGAUGUCUACACUAGAGAUACACAGCUGAGAAACAGCAGCAAAAUCUUUUUAGCUGACUCUGAUAUUAAAUACAAAUUUCAAAACAGAUUCUUGAAGAGAAAGUAAAAAAGUGAGAACUAUUGUAAUUUAACCCUCUAAAAUUAUCUAGAUGAUAUUUUAGUGCUAUCAAGGGCAUUACUGAGAGGUUUUACAGAAUUCUGGAAAGCUGGAGCACUAACUGAAUAUUUUUCUACCCAAAGUGUGUCUUGAUUUUUGUUUUAAUAAAGAAGAGCCCUUUAGUUAUUAGUGUUUCCUUAAGUGGUAGUGAAUGGAUGGGUAGUCUACAUUCCCUCAUUAUGGAGUGUGAGCCGUAGAAAAACAGUCUCAGCAUGAUCUGAGCUUCUCCAGUUUGACAAUAUCACCUGCAGUUGGGCCCGGGGCUCUAAAGCCAUCUGUGUCAAGAUUCCAGGCACCUACUCCUGCUUUUUGUGUGGUGGACAUAUGUGGCAUGUGUAUCUGUGCUUGUGUGUGUGUGUGUUGUAGCUUGUAUGUGUAGCUUGUAUGUUUAUAGCAUACAUAUGCUUGUGUGUACAUAUGUGGGUAUGACUGUAAUCACUUUCUUCCAAACCAAAAUCACCCAAAAUGAUGCAAAAGUCAAUCAAUCUAGUUCAAGUUAUUUGAUGAAUUAACUUGGCUAAGAACUAAAAUUCUAAAAUGAUGUUGCAAGAUAAGUAUAAAGAUGUAAUUCUAACAUAAAAUAUCUUUGGAAACAACAUUCAAGACUCAGUAUGCUAUUUUGUAAUCCAACUGAGUAUAGCAUGCCUAACUUAAACUAAAAUAGGAUGAUAUAUUUCAAGUAGAUAUUUGAUAAGCCAAAUAUACCAGUUCUGUCCUUUAAAGAAACUCAUGUGAUUAGAUGAUUGUCCCAUUUGUUAAAAAUUUUCAUGAAAAUUUAUUAAGGGUCCUAUUUUAUUUUUACUACUUUUAACUUAUAUUAAGCAAAGGAUACUUUAAAUAUAAGUUUAUAUCUUCUGUCUGGUUCCUCAAAAUGCUGAAUUUUUAAUUUUCAGAAAUUGCUGCCCUUUUUGCCAUUAUUAUAUAGAAAAUAAACCGCUGCUGUUCAGAGUUCUGUUAGUUCACACAAAUUGUAGUUUAAUUUAAAAAAUACGUGUCCAUGUUCACUGUUAUAAAUGGGUAUUCCCCUGCAUUAUUUUGUAGUAGAAGAGAAAUUACAAUUCUUGAAUGUGUGUGUGUGUGUGUGUGUGCUAUUACAAUAUACCCUAUGAAGUCUGUGUUCAUUAUUUCAUACAUCAAGUGUCAAGGAUUAUUUCCAAAGAUCUCUGAGCACAUGGUAAGCUUAAGCAAGAACAUUAUGGUAAUAUAAAAAGCUAGAGGAUAUUUAUAAUUCUAUAAAGACUGCUCAUUACUCAAACCAAUCUAAUCAGUAUUUGUGAUGUAAUAGAUGAAAAUCUAUUAAUAGCCAAGCAGGGUUCAGAGAAUCACAUUACCUAAAUCAGGCUAAGAAUGGAAUAACCAUUGUAAUUUAAACCUCACAAGCACACUUAUAGGGAAGUAUUAUUACGCUUCUUAAUAGAUGAAUAAAUGAAGGCUCAAACAUGACCAAAUCACAGUGCAAGAAAGCGGUAGAGUUGGGAAGCCCAUCCAACUGAACCCCUCUGACAAUGGCUACGCAUAUCAACAACCCACCCCAACUUCUGGCACAGCUGCUCUCUAGCAAGCAUGGUAACUAUCCCAUAACCUGUGCCUUCAGCACCACUUCUGUGGGCAUAACCCUCAGCAGGCAUUCCUGAUAAAUCUUUGACUCCUGCUCUACCAGCUGCUCUUAGACCCUUUCUGGCUGGCCCCUGAGACCCAAGAGACUUAUGAGGAUCCAAUCAACUGAGAGGACAUUAUUUGAAAACACUUGAAAGGCUAUAAAGUGCUCUAGACCUGUAAGAGAUUCUUUGUAAUGCUUUUCUUUCCCCCCCACCCUCUUGAAGGGUUUUUGUAGAUCCCAUUAGAAUUGUACCAGGAGGACUUGCAAGAUGUUGAGACAUUGAAAGGAAAACCUCUUUUUUUCCAGAUGUCAAAAGAGCCAUAGAAAAAAUAUUUAGAUCUGAAUAAUUACCUUGGCAAAUAUUACUAUUUUAAGGAUCAAUGACAUCACUCUUCAUUUCAAUGUAAUCAUUCAAAUAAAAAUAAAUUGAAGAAAAAAAUCUGCAUUUGAGAUAGGGAUCUGGUGGGGUUAGAGUUUGAUGAAAUUAGGUAAUAAAGCAGUAAUUCCAUUUCUAGGACACAUUUUCAUUUUACCCUUUUAUGUGCAUGUUCCAUGUGAACAUUGAAAUCCAGAUGCAUACUAAUUAGUAAUUAAUAUUCAUCAACUUGUGUAACAGUCCUCAACAUAAUGUUGAUUAGCUGUAGGUAUUUAUAGUGUCAUGAAUAGCUAGUUAGAGAAAUGCAUCAUUUUCAUUAGAAUUGCAUUAUGUUCCAUAGGGAAAUUUGUAUUCUGAUACCAAGAAAAUACAAUAAUGUUUUUGAACUCCACACUUCAGGAAAUUGAAUGUAUUUGUUCAUAUACCUGACAAGUAGUCAACAUCAGCAAAAUUGAAUGGAUAAUGAAAUAUCUUCCAAAGAGUUAUUUUUUUAGCCUUAUCAUCUUCCUUGUUUUUUUCAUCCAUGAGAGAAAUUAGUCUGUCAACAAGCGUUUUGAACUCGUUAGCCUUGUGCUAGGCCAUGGGAAUACAGAAAUUGUAACAACUCUCUAGGUCCUAUCCCUUCUUGGCUUCUCAAGGACAAAGCCCUGGCAGUUGUCCUUUGCCUCUCCUGAAUCCUAUUGUUUCUUUCUAUUAAUAUUCCCAUCAACUUACAAACACGCCGAUGUAAUAAAAGCAUUAUACCCUGCCUCAGAAUUCCCUGCUCCUAUGUGCAGCUUUAUUUUUCUCUAUCACCUUCCUUGAUGCCAUUGUCCUAUUUCACUUUGGCCUGUCAGCAUUUGACCCAGUCGAUCAUUGCUUAAUUCUUGGCUUUUAGGACAUCAUACUCUACUAAAUUUUUCUUUUCCUUCAUAGACAUCUCCUUCUUUGUCUUCUUUGUUAGUGAAAUCUACUAUCACUGACACUUAAAGUGUAGAAUUCCCAGGGUAUUCUCCUAAGACAUUUUCUCUUUUCUACUUCAGUUAUAUACUUGGUGAUCUCAUCCAGUCCAUGGUCCUAAAUUCUUCUAAUAUGCCAACAACUCCCAAAUUUAUGUCCAUGGCACAGCUCUCUUCCCUGAAUUCUUGGUUAAUGAAAUUGAUGUCUCUACAUCCCCAUUUAGAGAUAAAUAUCUCAAACAUAAUCUGUCUAAAACUAAAUUCAUGAUAUAUCUCCAUGAAAGUAGCUCAUCUCACAAUCUACUCUAUUUCAGUAAUUGGCAGUUACUGGGGCCAGACACAUUAAACUGAUCCUUUACUUUUUAUCGCCUCACACUAUACUUUCAAUCAUGGAUCAAAUCUUGUUGACUCUACCUGCAGAAUACACUCAAUAUGGACCAUUUCUCACAUCCUUUGUUGCUGCUGCCCAGGUCCAAGACAUCCUCGUUUUUCACUUGAAUUGUAGCCUCCAAACUAUACUGCUACCUCUUUAGCAUACGACCUGUUAAAAUGUAAAUCAGAUCAUGAACUUGCCUGCUCAAAAACCUCCUAUAGUUCCUCCUCUAACUCAGAGAAAGACCCAAGAACACUGUACCCACACAGUCUAGCUCCUAUUCACUCUGACAGUGUCUUAUUUCCCUCUCACUCCAUGCCAGCCAUGGUGAUAUCAUGACAAUGUUUUGAUCAAUUAAGUAUGAUCCCACCUCUCUUUGCACGUGCUGUUCUCUUCACUGGGCAUGCUUACCUCCCAGAUAUCCUUAUGGCCUGCUUCCUUACUUUCUUCAGAAAAUACCAACAUUUUGGAGUUCCCACUGUGGCACAGUGGUUUAAGAAUCCGAUUGUAGUGGCUCACAUUACUGUGGAGGCACUGGUUCAGUGCCCAGCUGUGCCUCAUGUAACCUCCAUGUGCCAUGGGCACAGCCAUAAAAAAAUUAAUAAGGAUUUUGUGAUCUCUCUAUUUAAAAUUAUACCUCUUCAUAAUUUCUUCUUCCUAUGUGCUGCUUUAUUUUUUCUUUAUUAUAACUAUCACCACCUAACAUAUAAUUAACUUGUUGACUUUGUUUCUUGACUGCACUUUAAUGUACGCUCUGUGAGAUCAGAGAUUUUGUUGUCUGCUUCAUUGCUAUAUCAUAACUUCUUAACACCAUAUGUA